GCUGGGUGUGGUGGUGAAUGUCUGUAAUCCCAACAGUUCUGGAGGCUGAGGCAGGAGGGUCUUGAGUUCAAACCCAGCCUCAGGAAGUUAGUGAGGCUCUAAGCAACUCAGCAAGAUCCUGUCUCUG
rnacentral:sRNA from 1 species